GUGACUACAUGAUUCAAGUAAAUGCAUAGCUCUUUGCUGAGAGACUCAACAACAUUACUGUAGCCCCCUUUAAUCAUACAAUGAGCCCCUCCAAAUCCUCCAUAAACAUCAUCUUGAUUCCAGUAGGGAAGAGAUAAUUCCUUCAAUAAAGCAGCACAACCAUACUCCAAAUGGGCAAAAUGCCAAUCCAUGACUCUCCUCUCAAGCGGAGUCAAAAUCUCCUCUUUAGAACAACUUUUUUCAGGAACUCCACCAUCAAAACUACAAGUUUUUG
rnacentral:misc_RNA from 1 species